GAGAGCCGUGUGAGGUGAAAGUCUCACGCACGGUUCGGACUGGGAGUCGUGGUAGGUGACUACCACUUCGACCCCUAAU
rfam:Crocosphaera watsonii WH 8501 ctg361, whole genome shotgun sequence.